UACGUAGGGGGCAAGCGUUAUCCGGAUUUACUGGGUGUAAAGGGAGCGUAGACGGCAGUGCAAGUCUGGAGUGAAAGGCGGGGGCUCAACCCCCGGACCGCUCUGGAAACUGUACGGCUGGAGUGCAGGAGAGGUAAGUGGAAUUCCUAGUGUAGCGGUGAAAUGCGUAGAUAUUAGGAGGAACACCGGUGGCGAAGGCGGCUUACUGGACUGUAACUGACGUUGAGGCUCGAAAGCGUGGGGAGCAAACAGG
rnacentral:rRNA from 1 species